rnacentral:rRNA from 1 species
GACAAACGCUGGCGGCGUGCCUAAUACAUGCAAGUCGAGCGGACUAAUGGGAGCUUGCUCCCGUUAGUUAGCGGCGGACGGGUGAGUAACGCGUGGGCAACCUACCUGUAAGACUGGGAUAACUUCGGGAAACCGGAGCUAAUACCGGAUGACAUAAAGGAACUCCUGUUCCUUUAUUGAAAGAUGGCUUCGGCUAUCACUUACAGAUGGGCCCGCGGCGCAUUAGCUAGUUGGUGAGGUAACGGCCCACCAAGGCGACGAUGCGUAGCCGACCUGAGAGGGUGAUCGGCCACACUGGGACUGAGACACGGCCCAGACUCCUACGGGAGGUAGCAGUAGGGAAUCUUCCGCAAUGGACGAAAGUCUGACGGAGCAACGCCGCGUGAGCGAUGAAGGCCUUCGGGUCGUAAAGCUCUGUUGUUAGGGAAGAAUAAGUGCUAGUUGAAUAAGCUGGCACCUUGACGGUACCUAACCAGAAAGCCACGGCUAACUACGUGCCAGCCGCCGCCGUAAGAC